rnacentral:ribozyme from 14 species
GUAAAAAACAAAACAAAAAAAGAAAAAAAAAAAAAAAAAAAACA